UGAGACACGGCCCAGACUCCUACGGGAGGCAGCAGUGGGGAAUAUUGGACAAUGGGCGAAAGCCUGAUCCAGCCAUGCCGCGUGUGUGAAGAAGGCUCUAGGGUUGUAAAGCACUUUAAGCAGGGAAGAUAGUGCGUUGGAUUAAUACUCCUACGUAUGGACGGUACCUGCAGAAUAAGCACCGGCUAACUCUGUGCCAGCAGCCGCGGUAAUACAGAGGGUGCGAGCGUUAAUCGGAAUUACUGGGCGUAAAGCGUGCGCAGGCUGUUUGGCAAGUCAGAUGUGAAAUCCCCGAGCUCAACUUGGGAACUGCGUUUGAAACUGCCAGACUAGAAUAGGUCAGAGGGGGGUAGAAUUCCACGUGUAGCAGUGAAAUGCGUAGAGAUGUGGAGGAAUACCAAUGGCGAAGGCAGCCCCCUGGGAUCAUAUUGACGCUCAUGCACGAAAGCGUGGGGAGCAAACAGGAUUAGAUACCCUGGUAGUCCACGCCCUAAACGAUGUCGACUGGUUGUUGGGCCUUAGGUGGCUCAGUAACGAAGCUAACGCGUGAAGUCGACCGCCUGGGGAGUACGGCCGCAAGGUUAAAACUCAAAUGAAUUGACGGGGGCCCGCACAAGCGGUGGAUUAUGUGGAUUAAUUCGAUGCAACGCGAAAAACCUUACCUACCCUUGACAUGUCUGGAAUCCUGAAGAGAUU
rnacentral:rRNA from 1 species